CAGUGGGGGAUAACGUAGCGAAAGUUACGCUAAUACCGCAUAUUCUGUGAGCAGGAAAGCAGGGGAUCGCAAGACCUUGCGCUGAUUGAGCGGCCGAUAUCAGAUUAGCUAAUUGGUGAGGUAAAGGCUCACCAAGGCGACGAUCUGUAGCGGGUCUGAGAGGAUGAUCCGCCACACUGGAACUGAGACACGGUCCAGACUCCUACGGGAGGCAGCAGUGGGGAAUUUUGGACAAUGGGGGCAACCCUGAUCCAGCCAUGCCGCGUGAGUGAAGAAGGCCUUCGGGUUGUAAAGCUCUUUCGGCCGGGAAGAAAUCGUAUGGGUUAAUACCCUGUGCGGAUGACGGUACCGGCAUAAGAAGCACCAGCUAACUACGUGCCAGCAGCCGCGGUAAUACGUAGGGUGCGAGCGUUAAUCGGAAUUACUGGGCGUAAAGCGUGCGCAGGCGGUUUUGUAAGACAGGCGUGAAAUCCCCGGGCUCAACCUGGGAACUGCGCUUGUGACUGCAAGGCUAGAGUAUGGCAGAGGGGGGUGGAAUUCCACGUGUAGCAGUGAAAUGCGUAGAGAUGUGGAGGAACACCAAUGGCGAAGGCAGCCCCCUGGGCCAAUACUGACGCUCAUGCACGAAAGCGUGGGUAGCAAACAGGAUUAGAUACCCUGGUAGUCCACGCCCUAAACGAUGUCAACUAGGUGUUGGGUGGGUAAAACCAUUUAGUACCGGAGCUAACGCGUGAAGUUGACCGCCUGGGGAGUACGGCCGCAAGGUUAAAACUCAAAGGAAUUGACGGGGACCCGCACAAGCGGUGGAUGAUGUGUAUUAAUUCGAUGCAACGCGAAAAACCUUACCUACCCUUGACAUGUCCAGGAGCCUGAAGAGAUUUGGGUGUGCCCGAAAGGGAACUGGAACACAGGUGCUGCAUGGCUGUCGUCAGCUCGUGUCGUGAGAUGUUGGGUUAAGUCCCGCAACGAGCGCAACCCUUGUCGUUAAUUGCCAUCAUUUAGUUGGGCACUUUAACGAGACUGCCGGUGACAAACCGGAGGAAGGUGGGGAUGACGUCAAGUCCUCAUGGCCCUUAUGGGUAGGCCUUCACACGUCAUACAAUGGUCGGUACAAAGGGUUGCCAACCCGCGAGGGGGAGCCAAUCCCAGAAAGCCGAUCGUAGUCCGGAUCGCAGGCUGCAACUCGCCUGCGUGAAGUCGGAAUCGCUAGUAAUCGUGGAUCAGCAUGUCACGGUGAAUACGUUCCCGGGUCUUGUACACACCGCCCGUCACACCAUGGGAACGGGUUCCGCCAGAAGUAGGUAGCCUAACCGCAAGGGGGGCGCUUACCACGGCGGGGUUCGUGACUGGGGUGAAGUCGG
rnacentral:rRNA from 1 species